rnacentral:rRNA from 1 species
AUGAAGAAGAAAGUGAAGUUGAGAAGGUGGAGGCCAGAGAAUAUGAGACAAGUGGAAUUUAGAAUUGGUAUGGUGUUUUUGUUAGUGAUAGAGCUUAGAGGAGCAAUACAAGAAUACAUUGUGCAGCAAAGGGUAGGUGUACACUACAAGAAGAAUGAUUUGCAAAGGAUUAGGGCUUGCUGUGAGCCAAAAUGUCCCUGGUACUUGUAUGUUGCACCCGACAGCAGGUCUAAAGCUUGGACUGUGAAGAAAUAUGCAGGCCAUCACAAUUGUGAAAGAGAUUUCAAGAUAAAGCAGUUCACGGCAAGGUAUUUAGCAGCUCAUUAUGUGGAAAAAUUCAGAUGUGAUGACAAGAUGUCACUGAAGAACUUUGCUAGGAUGAUAGAAUAG